rnacentral:rRNA from 1 species
CCGCAAUGGGCGAAAGCCUGACGGAGCAACGCCGCGUGAGGGAUGAAGGCCUCUGGGCUGUAAACCUCUUUUAUCAAGGAAGAAGAUCUGACGGUACUUGAUGAAUAAGCCACGGCUAAUUCCGUGCCAGCAGCCGCGGUAAUACGGGAGUGGCAAGCGUUAUCCGGAAUUAUUGGGCGUAAAGCGUCCGCAGGCGGCCCUACAAGUCUGCUGUUAAAAAGUGGAGCUUAACUCCAUCAUGGCAGUGGAAACUGUUGGGCUCGAGUGUGGUAGGGGCAGAGGGAAUUCCCGGUGUAGCGGUGAAAUGCGUAGAUAUCGGGAAGAACACCAGUGGCGAAGGCGCUCUGCUGGGCCAUCACUGACGCUCAUGGACGAAAGCCAGGGGAGCGAAAGGGAUUAGAUACCCCUGUAGUCCUGGCCGUAAACGAUGAACACUAGGUGUCGGGGGAAUCGACCCCUCCGGUGUGUAGCCAACGCGUUAAGUUUC